UGAGAUACAUAGAGUAGCAUGUAGAAGAAUUGGCAUUAGUUAGCAUGCUACGAAGGGAAGCAGAAGAAAAAGAAAGUGAAGGAUCAAGUGAAAAUGAAACUCAGCAAGUUGAGGUAGUAAAGAAUGAAAAAGAGGACCUUGAUUUAGCUGUACAGGAUCC